rnacentral:lncRNA from 1 species
CUCUAAAACAUUGUCAGAAUGCUUUUAGUUGUCUGGAGCAAUGCUAAGACACUUGUAAGAAGAAGGAUGCAGUUGUGCUCCAGACUUCCUUCUUAGCUCCUGCCUUUACUAACCACCUGUUCAAUGGCAGUUCUUCGAGGUUCAACAGCAACUAGGGCUUACAUACAUAGAGUAGCACUUGAAGGAGUGGCUGGCCUUGAGGAAGCAGUCAUUUUGAGACUCCUCUUCUGGUAUGUUAGAACAAAACUGUGGAGACUUUUAACAGUGUGGUCUAUGGAUGUGUUAUCUCUGUUCUGUUUGAC